GAGCCGGCCGGGCGGCCGCGGCGUUUGCGAACCACCGUAAAACGGGAAGGCGCAGGUCGAGGAAAGUCCGGACUCCACAGGGCACGGUGGUUGCUAACGGCAACCCGGAGCGAUCCGCGGGAAAGUGCAACAGAAAGUAGACCGCCCGCCGCCCCUCGGGGCGUGCGGGUGAGGGUGAAAGGGUGCGGUAAGAGCGCACCGGCGCGGGUGGUGACACACGCGGCCAGGUAAACCCCACCGGGAGCAAGGCAAGAAUCCGCGCCGCGUGCGGCGGGGGUCGUCGGACGCAAUGAGGCUGCCCGCCCAUGUCCGAAGGUAGCUGCUUGAGGCGCCCAGCAAUGGGUGGUCCAGAUGGAUGGUCGCCGCCCCGUCAGGGGAACAGAAUCCGGCUCAUAGGCCGACUCAU
rnacentral:RNase_P_RNA from 1 species